UAAGGCCCUUUUCUCUUGUUGAGUGCAAAUGGAGAACAGCUGCUCACACUCAUCGUCCGACGUCAGCUAUUUCUCAGGAUGACCCUGUGAGACAGGCCAGGGUCAUUAGACUCAAUUUGGUGCUCAGCAAAUAUGUGUUUAUUCCUGCAUGCGUGGGCCACAGGCUGGUUUGUUGGGUGCAAUGAAUAGCUGCAGGUUUAUUAGGGUGUCUCUUUAGAUGGAUGUAUGUCUCCCAGUGUCUGUAGAACACUCCGGACCCCGGAGAGUGAAAACCCUGCCUGUCGGACUUGCUUUGAGAAGGUCCUUCUCCAACUCCCCACAGCAGAAGUUGCUUCACAGAGGGGAACAGUUUUAUGGAGGUGACUGAGACCUUAAGCUUGAGGCCACCCAUCUGAGGUGGCAUCCAGAGGAGACUGGCUGGCCCCUCCUUCGCCUUGGAUGUAGCACUGUUUCUAGGAUCUCUUUUCAAUCAACAAGACAGGGGAUGUUCCAUGAGGGUGCGUGGAUUCCCUGCCAUCCCACAUGGUCAAGUGGAAGGGACGGGAAAAAAGCCAUGAAGGGUUUGUGACCACACAGAGACUCUCCUGGCCGCCUGUGCUUUCGGAAAGAAGACCAGAGAUGAAAUAUAAUCAAGCGAUUAACCACCCCUAUCAUCACCAAGAACAACAGUAUCAACAACAAGAACAGGGACAACAAAACCCAUGGGUGAAACAUUCCUUUCUCAUUCAGAUCUUAUCUGGCGCGCUCUCUCUGUCUCGGUCUGUGGUUUAGAGAAACAUGGGCAACGCUGUUUGGAAGAACAGGGCUUCCUAGGAAUCAAUAAUGCCCAUGAAGGAAGGGAUUGUAGAAAUAGCUUAACACUUUCAUUUACUAACGUGGAAAUUGAAGCCCAGGGAAGGGAAGGGACUGGCUGUGGAAGAGAGAGCCAUCAGCAGAAAGACACCCUGAAAUCUUCCUGUGUGAUUCCCAGGAAGUCCAGCCUCAGCUGAUUCAUAGAACAAAUGCAUGCAAACCUUGCUAUCUAUAAACUACACAUGCACUUACAUAAAACACA